rnacentral:rRNA from 1 species
UUUUUUUUUUUGAUUAAUAUUAGUUAUGUUCUUUAAAAAUCAAAGAUUUUGGCGGUUAAUCAAUUCUUUUUAGAGGAACAUGUAUUUUAAUUGAUGAUCCACGAUAUUUUUUACCAAAAUUUUAUUUGUAUAUCUCUAUUUUUAGAAAAUUAUUUAAAUAAUUUUCUUUUUCUUUAAAAGAUUAAUUUUAGGUCAAGGUGCAGUUUUAUUUUGGUUUAUAUGUGUUACUAAAAUUUUAUAUAAAUUUAUAUUCUUUUUGAUAAUUUUAGGAUUUAAUAGAAAAUUAAAUUAAUUAAUUUUUUUU